rfam:Triticum aestivum genome assembly, contig: Triticum_aestivum_CS42_TGACv1_scaffold_003519_1AL
AAAGUACUCCCUCCGCUUCGAAUUUCUUGUCGCAGGUAUCGAUAUAUCUAGAUGUAUUUUAGUUCUAGAUACAUCCAUUUCUGAGACGAGUAAUUUAAAACGGAGGGAGUAGGAC